UACGUAGGUGGCAAGCGUUGUCCGGAUUUACUGGGCGUAAAGCGCGCGCAGGCGGUCCGUUAAGUCUCUGGUGAAAUCGCCCGGCUCAACUGGGCGGGUGCCGGGGAGACUGGCGGACUUGAGGGCCACAGAGGGACAUGGAACUCCAGGUGUAGUGGUGAAAUGCGUAGAUAUCUGGAAGAACACCAAAGGCGAAGGCAGUGUCCUGGGUGGUCGCUGACGCUGAGAGGCGAAAGCCAGGGGAGCGAACGGG
rnacentral:rRNA from 1 species